AUAAAUCCCAUAGGCUUAAGGGCUCCCCAAUUCCUUGCUACAGAGCCCUGUUGUCCACGGUUUAUUUUUUUCCACAGGACGAUUCUUAAUACUUUACCAGAUGGAAACACCACCACCACCAUCUUUGCCAUUUCAGCUCUUAUGCAUUAGGCAGCCACGAUAUCUUCAGGGCCUUCUUUCUCAUUCACGCCAUCUCAAGCAAGGCAAGGUACUUCUACGGAAGGGUGCGACCUCACGGAUGGAGCAAUGGUCACUCAGUCUGAGGUAUUUUGUUAUGGUAGCCUGAACAGACCAAGACACCAAUAAGACGGUAUUUGGAGGUGGGGCCUUUUGUAGGUUAUUCCAAAAGACUCAUCUACAAAUUCUGAAUUAUUUCUUCUGCUUGAUCCAGUUUAUUGUUGAAAAAAAUUCUAAAAUUUGUAUGGAAGCAAAGGAAAAAAAAAAAAAGCACAGAUAGCCAAAGCAAAGCAAUACUGAGCAAAACAAACAAAGCUGGAGGAAUCAUUAUCUGACUUCAGAAUACACUGUGUUUAUAGUAAACAAAACAGCAUGGUACUGACAUAAAAACAGACACAUACACAAAUGAAACAAUAGAUCACCCAGAAAUAAAUCCAUGUGUUCCCAGCCAACUGAUUUUACAAAAGUACCAAAGGCAUACGUUGGAGAAAAGACACUCUUUCAUAAAUGGUGCUGGGAAAACUGGGUCUCCAUAUGAAGAAGAAUGAAACUAGAUACCUAUCUCUCACCGUAUACAAAAAUCAAUGAGUUAAAUAACAAAACAUAAGAUGCCAAACUAUAAAACUACUAGAAGAAAACAUGGGGACAACACUUUAGGAUAUUUAGAAGACUUUAUCACUAAGACUUCAAAAGCACAGGCAACAAAACUAAAAACUGACGAAAAGGACUAUAUUAAAGUAAAGACCUUCUGUACCACAAAGGGAACAAUCAAUAGAGCGAAGAGACAGUCUGUUGAGUGGAAUAAUAUAUUUGCAAGUUAAAGAACUCAAACAACUCAACAGGAAAAAAAAUACCAUUUUAAAAAAAUGGGCAAAGGACAUCAAUAGACAUUUCUCAAAAGAAGACAUACAAAUGGCUAACGCGUAUAUGAAAAAAAUGCUUGACAUCAAUAAUCAUCAUGGAAAUGCAAAUUAAAACCACAAAGAGAUAGCAUCUUACCCCAGUUAGAAUGGCUAUUAUUAAAAAGACAAAAAAUACCACAUGCAGGUGAUAUUUACUGUUGCUGGAAACAUAACUUUGUACAGCCAUUAUGGAAAACAGAUUGAAGAUUUCUUCGAAACUAAAAAUUGAACUACAAUAUGACCCAGCAAUUCCACUACUGGGUAUUCAUCCAAAGGAAAGGAAAUCAGUAUAUCAAAAAGAUACCUGCAUCCUCAUGUUUACUGCAAAUGCUAUUCACAAUAGCCAAAAUAGGGAAUCAAUCUAUGUGUUUAUCAGUGGAGGAAUGGAUAAAGAAGUUGUGGUAUAUAUACAUAAUGGAAUACUAUUCAGCCAUUAAAAAAGAAUUAAAUCAUCUCAUUUGCAGCAACAUGAGUUGAAGUGAAGGUUAUUGUAUUAAGUGGAAUUAGGUAAGCACAUAAAGACAAAUAUAUUUCUCACUUACCUGUGAGAACUAAAAAAAGUGGAUCUCAAGUAACUAGAGAUUAGAAUGAUAGCAGAGGUUAGUGUGUGGAGAGUGAAAAGAGAUUGGUUAAUGGGUACAAAUUUAGAGUUAGAUAGAAAAAUAAGUUCUAAUGUUUGAUAGUAGAGUAGGGUGACUAUAGAUAACAACAAUGUAUUUUAUAUUUCAAAAUGGUUAGAUAAGAGGACUUAAAAUAUUCCUAACACAUGUAAAUGACAAACACACAAUGUGAUAGAUAUAUCCUGUAUAUGUAUUAAGUAAAUAUCCUGACUUAAUCAAUUCACAUUCUAUACACAUAACAAAAAUCACAUAUAUCCCUAAUAUCCAAAUAUUAUGCAGUAUCAAUUAAAAAAUAAAAAUAAAUUUAUCUACAUCUGUUCUUCACAUUUUAUUGAAGACAUUGUAUUAUUUAUUUACACUAGGUUCUCAGAGUAACAGAACAAUGAGAGAAACAUAUAAAGAUAUUUACUCACAAAAGUAUGGAGGAAGAGCAGUCUCAUUAACUGCCAUCUACAACCUGAAGACCCAGGAAAGCAACAGAUUUCAGUCUAGGUUUGAAGGCCUGUGAACAAGGAGUGCCAAGGGAAGAAGACUGAUGUUCCAGCUCAGUUAUUCUGAUAGUGAAUUCAACAUUACCAUGCAUUUUUGCUUUGGAAUGGCCCUUAAUGUAUUGAAUGAUGCCUAGUCACGUUGGCGAAGGUUGUAGGCUUUACUCAGUUCACCUAUUAAAAUGGUAAUCUCUUCUGUGAGACACAUCUCAUAGAAACACCUAGGAAUAAUGUUCAACCAGCUAUCUAGGCAUCCUAUGGCAUAGUCAAUUUGACACAACCAUUAUAGUCAUUAUCUAGAUUUCUUAAAAUGUUUAUUUUGAUAAUUUUAGACUUAAAAAAUGUACAAAGAUAGUAAACAGAGUUUUUUAAUACUCAUUACCCAGUUUUACUCAUUUUUAAUCCUUUGGAUUACUAUGGUAUAUUUACCAAAACAAACAAAUUGACACUGUUACAUUGCUACAUGUAGCAUGCUUUUGCUGAGAAGGAUUAAGUCCCACCUUUUAUGUAGGGGAAGUAUCUACACAUAUUAUUUGGAAUUACUUUGUAAAAAUAUUUGUCUUUUCUCCUUAUUUAUUCAUAAAUUUAUUUAUAUUAGUAAGGACACAUAUUUAUUUUAUACUUUGGUUGCUAAUUGACUAAUAUGUGAAUUAUAUAUAUAUAUAUAUAUUCUCAAAUUGUUCAGAUUUUUGUCAUUGGGUGUUCACUUUUAGGUUGGCUUUGUGUCCCUUUGACAUGCCUUCAUAUGUUUGUUUACUAAGCAUUGUUUCCUGGUCAAAAAAGUGUUCCAAACUCAUCUGAUAUUUCCACUGUCCCAGUCUCAGAAUAAGGCAUUUCUCCAAGUAGUCCUGUAUUUUGUCACUGGAGAAUAGUAUUUUAAAACAAGAAUCUGGAUAAUAGGUGAGUUCAUUGCUACUGAUCACUCUCAAAAUACACAGAUAUAUAACAUCAUUAUGUUUACUGAUAUGGUUUGGCUGUCUCCCCACCCAAAUCUCAUCUUAAAUUCCCAUGUGUUGUGGGAAGGACCCAGCUGAAGGUAAUUGAAUCAUAGGGGCAGUUCUUUCCUGUGCUUUUCUUGUGACAGUGAAUAAGUCUCACAAGAUCUGACAGCUUUAUAAGGUGUUAUUUCCCUGAAUAAGCUCUCCCUUUGCCUGCUGCCA
rnacentral:lncRNA from 10 species